rnacentral:lncRNA from 1 species
ACUGGUAAACCAGCAAGUACCACUCCAGCUCGGGACAAAAACAAACCUACAUUAGAUAGAUAUUACAAGUCUGUCUACUUUAUCCUCCACGACAAAUUCUGGAUUGGCCACGGCCUAGUCAAUUCUGAUUGGGCAAAGUUGGAAGAAGAAUUUAAUCAUAUUGGGAAACCAUCUCCUAAGCCCAAAGGAAUAAUUGAUUCAGUUCCCUUCAUUUCGUCUGGGACCAAGGUAUCUAUCUCUGCUUUGGUCUUUGUCAUUUCUUAACUUGUUGAUUUUGUAACAUGAGCUUGUGUUUAACCAAUGAUGCAGCUGGCCCAACUUGCUGUACUCUUUGGCUUGGGUGAGCCAUCACUUGGGUACUAUAACAAUUGCGAAGAAAAUUACGAUGCUAUCAAGCAAUGCAGAGACGCGAUGCCAAUUUUAGAUAUGGAGAAGGAGAAGGAUAUGGGGAGUAAUAUCUAUCCCAUGAUUUCUCAUCUGAGGAAAUUUCAGCAGCCACCAGAAAAAGCAACAACUAAAUCAGCAAGGGGUAGUGAACCAAGAAAAAGUCAAAAACUGGAGGGUAAGGAAAAGGAUUUUCUUGUCACGAAUCAAAUACAAUGUCGUUUAGAAUUCAUAGCUCAGAGUAAUUGUUUUCUUUUGGGUUCAUCUGUUAGGAAAAGAGAAUCCCCCUCGGAAAUCUUUAGCUGAAUCUCCAUCUUCUCUAGAAGAGAGAUUGUUGGUCGCGAUGAAGGUAAAAAAGCUGCUUCUGGAAUUUUGUUCUUUGUUUGUGUGUUUGUCUGAUUUCCGGAUUUGGAGUUGGAAGUGAAUUAAAUCUCUCUCAUGUGUAUUUUUUUUUACCGAUGCUGGAGAGGGAGGACCGUGUUACUUUCUUCGAUUUCAAAAAAGGUAGUAACGGGUUGCUGCAUUUCGGUGGAAUGGAAGUGACUUCCAAGACGCUGGAAUUUAUUACUGAAACCAGGUUUUGCGUUCAAGCUACUCAGAUAAAUGGUAGACCUGCAAGAAACACUCCAGCUUGGUUAAAAAAUGAACCUACAUUAUCUGAAUCCUACAACCGUGUCUACUAUAUGCUCCACAACAAAACCUGGAUUGGCCACGACCUGCGCAAAUCCGAUUUUCCAAUGUUGGAAAAAGAAUGUAAGCAUAUUGGGAAAUCACCACCUAGGCCCAAAGAAAUAAUUGAUACU